AUUUCAAGCUCUUCUGUGUCUAGAGGAAGAGCUACCCCGUGACCGGCUUAGAGAACUGGAAGAGGCCGCAACCUUUCUCCUGCUUGAAGCUGGAGGAUGGAUGGAGUCUGGAGCCCUGGAGCGUGGGACACUGUUUCGCUGUGGUUGGUGGUGGCGACAGAGCAGUAGGAGAGCGCCCGGCAGCGGGAGCUUCUCCUGCUGGGCUGGAGGACUAGGAGAAGGAAGAGGCACUGCCACAUGCUGGAGGCUGGAACCUGUGCCACCGUGGCUGGCCUGGCUCUGGUUGGUUCGCCUCGCUGUGGUUGGUGGUGACGUCGGAGACUGCAGCUCGGUCACAGUGGUAGAAAUGUGAUGGGGUAGGGAAGUUGGAAAUAGGCAAGAAUGGAGAGAAAUUUUGUAUGGCAGUACACAGAAUUUUGCAAGUUUAUUGUGAGCCUUGCAACAAUCCGAUGCAUUUUAGUUACUGGUAAGUUUGUUGAAUUAUGUUUGAAAAUGUACCUCUUCAAAGAUGGCCAUCUAUUUACUAUUACGUCCACCAUGUCAAUUAUACCUUAUUGUAAAGAUUUUUU
rnacentral:lncRNA from 1 species